rnacentral:misc_RNA from 1 species
AAGUCGUAACAAGGUUUCCGUAGGUGAACCUGCGGAAGGAUCAUUACAGAAAACGGCUCCGGCCAUUUCUAACCCUUGAUUAUUUUCCUGUUGCUUCGGCGCUGCGGCGCCGAUGCCACCAAACUCAGAAACUGAUGUGUCUGACAAACAUUUAAUAAAUCAAAACUUUCAACAACGGAUCUCUUGGUUCCC